UUAUUUUAUUCCGUCCAUUUUCACUAUAAAUUUCAUUAAGUACGCCAAAAAACAUUUUAAUAAAACUUUCUAAAAUAGAUACAAUUGCUUAAACCUACUACACUGCUAUAAUCGCUACAGCUGGUGGAGACGCCAUGGAGCUCGACGAUCUGGUACUGAGCUCUGCCCGUGGUGCCGUGGAGAUUGACUCCAUGGAGUGUUCUUCCAAGGAAUUUCUGUUGUUCAUUAUCAGUAAAUUCUUUUUUCUCCCACAAAUAUUUAGGUGUCGUUUGGUUAGCGUUAAAGAAAUACAGUGUUUGGUUGGUCACAUAAGAACAAAUAAUUACCACAUAGCUUUGAUUUACUGGUGCUAGGGAUAUUCAUACGAACAUAUCUGUGAUUUGUAUCCUUGAAUUGGACCGACUAUAGUGAGCUGUGGCGUAGUGAGCUUCAGACCGACUGUAGAAUUGCAAUUUGGUGAGUUAAAGAUAAACCAUAUCUGAUUUGCACUUUAAUUUCAUACCGAAUUUGCACUUCAAUUUGCGAUUAGAGCAAAUUUUGUACUUCAAUUUCUCUGAGUGUUGAAAAGUGAGACCAAAUUUCAGCUCUCAAUUUGUGUUGGAAAGUCAGACUGAAUUUACACUUUAAUUUCUCUCAAAUUUGCACUUCAAUUGCUUCAAUUUGGGGAUUUUAAGAUUAGUGUGUUCUUCUCCGACUUUGACCUAAUUUUUGUGGAUUUUGGAUUUUUCUUCUUCUUAGAGAACAUUUGAUUGUUGUCCUUGAAUACACUAGACCAAAUAAUAGAUAAGAAACUAUCUCCGCAUAACUAAUUUCAAAAUUAAUCUCAACAUUACUAAUCAUCUGUGCACUUUAAUGAUGAUUGGAAAGCAUUUCUGUAGAGAUUCCAUUUUAUCAGUAAUGUAGUCCAUUGUAUUUGUUUAUUGUUUAGUUUUUAAAUACAUAGAUAAGUGUUGAUUCCUCUUGAAAAGAAGAGAAAAGUUUUAUACAUGAGGGUUUGAUGUAAUGAUUUCUCUUGACAUAACCUAUACAACAAUGCAGAAUUUCACGCUACCAGUUUUCAAAAGAAAUUAGGUAACUUCUUCUUCUUGAAGCAAUUGGAAGUGUUCCUUUGUUGUAUAGAUAUCAUCCACUCAUCAUGUAUUCCUCCCACCUUGUGUUUUGUUCUCCUCAUGUGGUGAUGGAUAUCCAUAUUAUUCAUAUUGAAAGCCUUGCAAUAAAAAGUAAUCCGUGCCUUACAUGUUUUUCAGUGUGAAUUGUUUCUCUACAUAGUCAUCCCUCCCAGUGCAUUCUGCUCAUCACAGUUCUUUCUAAUUUCCUUGAAAUGCUGUUCUUGUUGCCAGCUGAUUCUUUAACUGUUUUAGUCCUAUGGAGAUAUUCCACUAGAGUACCUUGUAAAUCUAUUUACUUAUGGUCUAGGGCCUUUGGUUAAUUCUUUAACAAGUUGUUUAAAUAGUAUUGCAUCUUUGCAAGGGAUGUACAUGCUAUGUGAUUGAUCAUUGACUGUUAUUAUCUUUCUUGACUUUGUACGAUCUGGUAACAGGGCUCGGUUGAGGGGACAUGUUUCAUUGGCAGGCUAUAAUUAUGGGUCCCCCAGACAACCCUUAUACUGGUGGUGUAUUUUUAGUUACUAUCCAUUUUCCUCCUGAUUAUCCAUUCAAACCUCCAAAGAUAUGAAAUGGUUCAAAUUACUUUGUGACUUCUACCUUGGUAAUUAUUUUUGUUGUUAGUCAAGGACAUAUUUAUUUUCAGAUUUACUAUAUGGAACAUGGUUCUGCUAUAUUCUGUCAUGUAAGUUAACUCUGUAUGAGGAUGUUAAGACCCUGUUUAUUUUCAGGUUUACUAUAGGCAACAUAGUUCUGUUGUAUUCUAUCUUCUAAGCUAACUUUGUAUGAGGAUGUCGAUGUAGAUUUGCUGGUAACAAGCUCCUGUUUAUGGAGCAUAGCUUUUGGGGAAUUGCACCCAACUGAAUAAGUGGAUAUGGGCUGUUAACUAUUGAUGUGUCACUGGUGGAUCCAUUGUUGGUUUGUUUACUCGUAGGCUUGUAAAUUACACCUUUUGGAUACUUGAGAUGUCAGUUUUUUUCUAGUUAUAUGUACUAGAUAAGGUCGAGAAAUAGAUAAAGAUAUUUAUUUAUUUUUGGGGGUGGGGUGGGGGUCCUGGAGUUCAUGAUAGACGACCAAAGUGGGAUGGUGGGAGCAUUCUUAUAAAUUUAGGUUUAUUGGUGAGUGUGACUAAUUAAAAGUUGAGAGUCACGGAUUAUAAAAAAAAUGUUAAGAGACUGUAUAUGAAAAAAAAGUGGAGCAUGUGUUGGAACUCCAGGGGAACAUCUUAUAUUAGCAUAAUAUAUUUCAUGAAAAAAGAGAGAGUUAAGUACUGGGAUCUUCCUGCUGCCUGUCAAGUCAGCAGCACGGAGUACUCAGUAGUCAGUACAACAUUUGUAGAAUGAACAAGUUUCUUCUUGGAGAAGGGUUGAGAAUGUGCAAGGUCCAGCUUCUCUAAAAAGAAAUGUUGGUUAAUGUCAACAUAGUUAUCUCUCUAUCUCUUUCUUCAUGGUUGUGUGUGUAUCUGUAUUCUUUCAUAGUAUGUACCAAAUAAAUAUCUACCUUAUCAAAAAAAAGAGUAUGUAUCAAAUAAAAUACGAAUACAUCAAACUAUUUGAAAACUCAUUAUGUCAACCAUGAUUGAUAUCUAUCUGGCAAUAUUUGGUGGAACUCUGAUUUGUACAUACAUGUAUCUGUUAUUCUCCUGGCAACAUUAUUGUGGUAAAGUUAUGGAUGUAUCCUUGCAGGUUGCUUUCAGGACAAAAGUUUUCCAUCCAAAUAUUAACAGUAAUGACAGUAUAUGCCUGGACAUAUUGAAGGAGCAGUGGAGCCCUGCCUUAACUAUUUCCAAGGUUUUGCUUUCAAUUUGAUCUUUUUUGAUGGACCCACACCCUGAUGACCCCCUGGUGCCUGAGAUUGCACAAGAAGAAUAUAGUAAGUACAAUAACUCUGCAAGUACUAGGCCCUUGGAUUAUACCAAUGAAAAAUCUGAAAUCUUUAUGUUGACUUACCUGUCCUACUUCCGUUCUUUGGUCAUACCCAAAAACUAUCUAUUUGUCCGAAAAAGCAAGAACUUUCCUAUUCAACACUCCAUUUUAUUACCAGAUGCUCAACUUGGGAAUAGCAGAUACUCAACUUGGGACUCACUUUUUAUGUUAUUAAUCUGUACUAAUCAAUGUCUCCGCUUGAUUUGGCACUAGUACUACAGUAAGUUAAAAAUGCAAACUUUGAGGAAAUUUUGUUGAAUCUAUUGCUUACUUUUUUUGAUCUUUUUGAAUACGAUCAUUUCAUGAGAGAAGUAAAAGCAGGGUCCAGCCUCCCUAGCCCACAAAGGAAGGGAUAAGGUCUGCUAUAUUCAACCCUCCCCAGACCUUACUUGUGGGAUUACACUAGGUAUGUUGCUGUUGUAAGUAGAAGCGAGGUCCAGAAUUUUAGUGGAUAACAGUACCAGUCUCUAGAUUUUCCUUUUAGCUAAGUAGAUAUAACUUUGACAUGUACACCUUCAUCAAAAGCAUUACUUUAACAUGGAUGGAAAGGAAUACAAGAUUAUUGGAGGUAAAAAAGUUCAAAUUCCACUUUCCAAAGAUUUUCGUAAACUAUAAUAGAUAGCAAGUAAUGAAGCACCAAAAGUGGAAGUUAAAAAACAACAUCAACUAUGAGAAAAGCAGUAGGAAUGCACCUCUUCAAUUGAUUUUGGUUUCUGUGCGCUCAAAAUAAGAAUAUAUCCUUCAUUCCUCCUUUGGCAUAAUUCAAUGGCACAUCCAAUUUUAGUGCAUCUACUAAGUGCUCAUAUAUAUCCCUAUAAAUUCAUCUAUUCAUGUUAUGAUCAUCAUUUCUUUGAGGAUCUAGUUUUAAUAAAAAAUAUUCAAAUUCUGAAAUGUGUAUGCUAAUAAUUACCUUGUUUUGAUUUUUGUACUGCUUCCGUGAGACUAUGGGGUUAUACUAAAUAUGUUUUUGUUGUACGUAGUACUUAUUAAGUGAACCAGUUGUAGGGCAGCUCUCUGUUUGGCAGAUAAUUAUGAUUCAUGAGAUAAUUUCUGUGGUGUCCAAAAUAAAGAAAAAAAUGAAGAAAGUGAUGAAGACAUUGACCUUACUUGAGAAGAUUUUUGGGUUGUGGAUAAAUUCUCUAAUAUCAAUAGUUUUGUGUUGAAUUUCUUGAAACUUAUCACAACUCAAACUUGCUACUAUGUAAAAACUUAACUAAUCAUUUGGACUUGAUUACAUUUUGCUUUUGUGAUUAAAUUACUAGCUUGUUGCA